AAUUUAUUUCUUUUUUUUGUUUUUGGUUUUUUUUUUUUAAAUGACUGUAGCAGGCAGUAACGUGCGAAAGAAAGACGCUCCAGCGUCUUCCUAGGCCAGUUUCUUGUUGCUGUGCUGCACGGGACCCAGCUCCUUUUGCUGGGCCACGUGUUGCUCCUCCGCUUGGGCGGCCCUGAAUUCUGGGCGCUGGUGAUCGCUGAGUGAAUCGCAGCUGCUUCCCUGUCCUUGAGGGCGUCUUUUGGGCACUCAGGCGACUCUUUAGAAAUGAGUUUUGCUUUAAUAAUUAAUAUUAACGUUAUAAAUCCAAAACCUAGUUAUACUUAAGUAGCGUAUCCCCUGGUAUGUUUUAAAGAGUCAUUCGAAGGGGAUUUUUAAAAAUAAUGUAUAGCUAUAAACUGCAUUUAUACAUUUAAUUGUUAUUUUGUUAAGCGAUUGAGUUACUUGACAAAAUCCAAGUACAUAGUUCACUCACAAAUCUAAUAUGUCAAACCUAAAUGUGGUUGGUAAAUCUUACUCUCAUAAUUUCAAUAUGGUUUACAGAUGUGGUUGAAUUCUGUUACACAUGUCUACUUACGAGUCAGAAUCGUUAUUCCAUUUAAUAUUUUAAAAUGGAAUUGCCAAGUUAAUCCAUACAUUAGCAUGUUAAAUUAUUUUAACCGUCGUGAAUACAUCAAAAUAGACGAUUCCAAAAUGUAAUGGAAAAUACUAAUGCUAAUACUUCAAUUUACUUCAUUAUUUCUGCCCUUAAUCCUGAAUCUUCCUGGAGUUACAGGUGCUUAUCCACUAAACCAGGGGUUUUCAAGCAAGAAGUCAGAAUGCAUUAAUGGACAGCAUUUAAAAAAAUAGGAUUGGGUGGGCUAUAAUCCAGCACUUUAGGAGGCCGAGGCAGGCGGAUCACUUAAGAUCAGGAGUUCGAGACCAGCCUGGCCAACAUGGUGAAACCCCGUCUCUACCAAAAAAUAAAAAAAUUAGCUGGACGUGGUGGAGCAUGUCUGUAAUCCCAGCUACUCGGGAGGCUGAGGAAGGAGAAUCGCUUGAACCCGGGAGGCAGAGGCUGCACUCUAGCCUGGGCAACAGAGCAAGGCUCUGUCAAAAAAAAAAAAAAAAAAAAAAAAAAGAAA
rnacentral:sRNA from 1 species